GAUGAACGCUGGCGGCGUGCCUAACACAUGCAAGUCGAACGGGGUUAAGGGAAAUUUUCGGAUGGAACUUAACUUAGUGGCGGACGGGUGAGUAACGCGUGGAUAACCUGCCUCACACUGGGGGAUAGCAGCUGGAAACGGCUGGUAAUACCGCAUAAGCCCACGACCCGGCAUCGGGUUGAGGGAAAAGGAGCAAUCCGCUUUGAGAUGGCCUCGCGUCCGAUUAGCUAGUUGGUGAGGUAACGGCCCACCAAGGCGACGAUCGGUAGCCGGACUGAGAGGUUGAACGGCCACAUUGGGACUGAGACACGGCCCAG
rnacentral:rRNA from 1 species